rnacentral:rRNA from 1 species
GGAAAGGUGAAAAGAACCCCGAACAGGGGAGUGAAAUAGAACCUGAAACCAUACGCUUACAACCGGUCGGAGCAGCUUCGUGCUGUGACGGCGUGCCUAUUGAAUAAUGAGCCUACGAGUUACUAAUCACUAGCGAGGUUAAGUGCAAGGAUGCACGGAGCCGAAGCGAAAGCGAGUCUGAACAGGGCGUUUAGUUAGUGGUUGUAGACGCGAAACCUUGCGAUCUACCCUUGAGCAGGUUGAAGGUUGGGUAAAACCAACUGGAGGACCGAACGAAUAAGCGUUGAAAAGCUUCUCGAUGACUUGAGGGUAGGGGUGAAAGGCUAAUCAAGCUGGGAAAUAGCUCGUACUCCCCGAAAUGCCUUUAGGGGCAGCGUUGUAAUUAAGAGUCUACUGGAGGUAGAGCUACUGAUUGGAUGCGGGGGCUUCACCGCCUACCAAAUCCUGACAAACUCCGAAUGCCAGUAGUAUGAUUUACAGCAGUGAGUGACUGGGUGCUAAUGUCCAGUCGCAAAAGAGGAACAACUCAGACCAGCAACUAAGGUCCCGAAGAAUAUGCUAAGUUGAUCUAACGAUGUUUUGUUGCAGAGACAGCUAGGAUGUUAGCUUGGAAGCAGCUAUUCAUUCAAAGAGUGCGUAACAGCUCACUAGUCGAGCGACAGAGCGUGGAUAAUAAACGGGCAUCAAGCAUAUCACCGAAGUUCUGGGCGCGAGAGCGCGGUAGGGGAGCAUUCCAUUCAGCGUCGAAGCAGUUUCGUGAGGAAUUGUGGAGCGUAUGGAAAAGCAAAUGUAGGCAUGAGUAACGAUAAUGCGGGAGAGUAACCCGCACACCGCAAGACCAAGGUUUCCUGAUCAACGCUAAUCGGAUCAGGGUUAGUCGGGUCCUAAGGGUAAGCCGAACGGCGAUCUCGAUGGAUAAUCGGUUAAUAUUCCGAUACUAACAUAUACCUCGAUGGAGAGACGAAGGAACGUAAGUGCCGCCACCUGACGGAAUAGGUGGUUAAAGGGCGUAGAUAUAGGGGCAGAUUAAGAGUUAGUCCUUGCUGAAACCUGACAGUACAGAGAGCCUACGGGCAAUUUGAUAGAGCACCCAAGUCGACUUCCGAGAAAAUCUUCUAAGUUAUAGUAUAUGUUACCCGUACCGUAAACCGACACAGGUGGUCGAGGAGAGUAUCCUAAGGUGCUCGAGUGAAUCACGGUUAAGGAACUAGGCAAAUUAACCCCGUAACUUCGGGAAAAGGGGUCCCUAUGAAAGUAGGGCGCAGCGAAGAGGUCCAGGCGACUGUUUAUCAAAAACACAGGGCUCUGCAAAUUCGAAAGAAGACGUAUAGGGCCUGACACCUGCCCGGUGCUGGAAGGUUAAGAGGGGAUGUCAUCGCAAGAGAAGCAUUGAAUCGAAGCCCCAGUAAACGGCGGCCGUAACUAUAACGGUCCUAAGGUAGCGAAAUUCCUUGUCGGGUAAGUUCCGACCUGCACGAAUGGUGUAACGAUCUGGACACUGUCUCAACCGUGAGCUCGGUGAAAUUGUAGUCCCGGUGAUGAUGCCGGGUACCCGCAACGGGACGAAAAGACCCCGUGAACCUUUACUAUAGCUUAACGCUGAAUUUGGGUACACAAUGUGUAGGAUAGGCCGGAGGCUUUGAAGCGGGCACGCCAGUGUUCGUGGAGCCGACGUUGAAAUACGGCCCUUUGUGUAUUUGAGUUCUAACCCUGCGAAGGGGACACCGUUUGGUGGGUAGUUUGACUGGGGUGGUCGCCUCCAAAAGCGUAACGGAGGCUUCCCAAGGUACCCUCAGCACGAAUGGUAACCGUGCGCGGAGUGCAAUAGCAUAAGGGUGCUUGACUGUGAGACAUACAAGUCGACCAGGUACGAAAGUAGGGUAUAGUGAUCCGGUGGUUCUGCGUGGACUGGCCAUCGCUCAAAGGAUAAAAGGUACUCCGGGGAUAACAGGCUGAUCGCCGCCAAGAGCUCAUAUCGACGCGGCGGUUUGGCACCUCGAUGUCGGCUCGUCACAUCCUGGGGCUGGAGAAGGUCCCAAGGGUUGGGCUGUUCGCCCAUUAAAGUGGCACGCGAGCUGGGUUCAGAACGUCGUGAGACAGUUCGGUCUCUAUCUGUUGCGGGCGUAGGAA